rnacentral:rRNA from 1 species
GCUUGCUUCUCUGGAUGAGUUGCGAACGGGUGAGUAACGCGUAGGUAACCUGCCUGGUAGCGGGGGAUAACUAUUGGAAACGAUAGCUAAUACCGCAUAAUAGUAGAUGUUGCAUGACAUUUACUUAAAAGGUGCAAUUGCAUCACUACCAGAUGGACCUGCGUUGUAUUAGCUAGUUGGUGGGGUAACGGCUCACCAAGGCCGUGAUGCAUAGCCGACCUGAGAGGGUGAUCGGCCACACGUUUGGGACUGAGACACGGCCCAAACUCCUACGGGAGGCAGCAGUAGGGAAUCUUCCGCAAUGGACGCAAGUCUGACGGAGCAACGCCGCGUGAGUGAAGAAGGUUUUCGGAUCGUAAAACUCUGUUGUUAGAGAAGAACAAGUGCUAGAGUAACUGUUAGCACCUUGACGGUAUCUAACCAGAAAGCCACGGCUAACUACGUGCCAGCAGCCGCGGUAAUACGUAGGUGGCAAGCGUUGUCCGGAUUUAUUGGGCGUAAAGCGAGCGCAGGCGGUUCCUUAAGUCUGAUGUGAAAGCCCCCGGCUCAACCGGGGAGGGUCAUUG